AAAAUCUGAGUCUCUGUUAGUUGCACUAUUGCCUCGCCGAUAAAGGCAUCUCAUUCUUGCAUUUAAGGCAGAGAAUUAGGAGAUAAAAUCUGAAAAGUCAGAAUGGAAGGUAAAAUCCAGAAAAAUACAAAACUGUAGAAAUAUUUCUGUUUAAUUGAAUUUCAAUGAUUUUCUGAUUCUUUUCAACUUCUAAAAUAGUAGUUCAUCACUAUGGAAUUUGAAAUAGAUUGAGUGUUGUCUUGGAACUGUUUGGAUUUCUUCUGUUAUUUUCUCUAGUUUUCCCCAAGCUGUUUUCACUGUUUCAUUGAUCAAUUCUGGGCUGUAUUCGCUACCGUGUACUACUUUCUCACCUCUUUUUCUCUCAUUUCCAGGUAUAUUUCAUCCCCCAUGGGUGUCACUUGAUGUGUAACUUGAAGCAUGAGUUGAGAAUGGGAUGAAAUGUGAUGCUGUUUGUGAACUUCACCUCUUCUUCUUUCAGUUUCAUAAUCACUAUGUAGCUUUGGAAUUCUGAUUAGUGUAUUUGUCAAAGAAUGGUUUGUAAUUGAUAAUUAGACCGCGUUAGUUUUGUAUAUGUGGUUUCCUUCUGAUUUUGUUGUUGGAUUCUAUAACUAGUGUUAGAUUUCACCUUGUGUGCUCAUCGUAUUUUUAUCUUUGAGUCUGGACUGUAUUAAUGGAGUAAAUUAGAGAUCAAUUCUUUUGGUGCA
rnacentral:lncRNA from 1 species